rnacentral:rRNA from 1 species
GACGAACGCUGGCGGCGUGCUUAACACAUGCAAGUCGAGCGGUAAGGCCCUUUCGGGGGUACGACGAGCGGCGAACGGGUGAGUAACACGUGGGUGACCUGCCCUUAGCUCUGGGAUAAGCCUGGGAAACUGGGUCUAAUACCGGAUAUGACUCCAUGACGCAUGUUGUGGGGUGGGAAAGCCUUGUGCGGCUAGGGAUGGGCCCGCGGCCUAUCAGCUUGUUGGUGGGGUGAUGGCCUACCAAGGCGACGACGGGUAGCCGGCCUGAGAGGGCGACCGGCCACACUGGGACUGAGACACGGCCCAGGCUCCUACGGGAGGCAGCAGUGGGGAAUCUUGCGCAAUGGGCGAAAGCCUGACGCAGCGACGCCGCGUGAGGGAUGACGGCC